rnacentral:rRNA from 1 species
AUCCUACGGGGGGCAGCAGUGAGGAAUAUUGGUCAAUGGCCGAAGGGCUGAACCAGCCAAGCCGCGUGAAGGAAUAAGGCCCUACGGGUCGUAAACUUCUUUAGUCAGGGAACAAAGGGUGCCACGUGUGGCGCUGUGAGUGUACCUGAAGAAUAAGCAUCGGCUAACUCCGUGCCAGCAGCCGCGGUAAUACGGAGGAUCCGAGCGUUAUCCGGAUUUAUUGGGUUUAAAGGGUGCGUAGGCGGUAUUUUAAGUUAGUGGUAAAACGUCGGGGCUUCACCUUGAUUGGCCAUUAAAACUGGAGU